GCCAAUCAGCAGCAGACCCUCCCUCCCAGACCCUCCCACCUCCUGGACAGCUUACUAAGAAUGCAGCUUCACAAUGGAUGCUGUCCAGGAGGUGGGAGGGUCUGGGAGGGAGGGUCUGCUGACUGAAGUAC